rnacentral:ncRNA from 1 species
GAAAAUACGAAGACAGAGACAGGUCUUGAAUAGAGCUUACAGAGAAGCCGUGGUUGGUGAAAACGGUGAAGUGACUAUUUUAGACGAAUCACUCUUGAGUAGCCUCCUGAGUAGUUAGGGAGAGCCGUUGAUCGCGUUAAGAUUUUAAGCGCAUAUCUUUUGAUAUGAAUAAAGGUGGUACCGCGUUAAGAACGUCCUUUUC